UACGUAGGGACCAAGCGUUGUUCGGAUUUACUGGGCGUAAAGGGCGCGUAGGCGGCAAUUCAAGUCAUCUGUGAAAUCUCCGGGCUUAACCCGGAACGGUCAGAUGAUACUGCUUUGCUAGAGUGCGGAAGGGGCAAUCGGAAUUCUUGGUGUAGCGGUGAAAUGCGUAGAUAUCACUUGGAACGCCAACGGUGAAGACAGUCUGCUGGGGACUUGCUGACGCUGAGACACGAAAGCCAGGGGAGCGAACGGG
rnacentral:rRNA from 1 species